UACAGAGACUGCAAGCGUUAUUCGGAUUCACUGGGCGUAAAGGGUGCGCAGGCGGCCGUGUGUGUGAGGCGUGAAAGCCCGGGGCUUAACCCCGGAAUUGCACCUCAAACUACACGGCUAGAGCAUUGGAGAGGGUAGCAGAAUUCACGGUGUAGCAGUGAAAUGCGUAGAUAUCGUGAGGAAUACCAGAGGCGAAGGCGGCUACCUGGACAAUUGCUGGCGCUCAGGCACGAAAGCGUGGGGAGCAAAAGGG
rnacentral:rRNA from 1 species